rnacentral:lncRNA from 1 species
CAACUAUAGAGAAAUCGCUCAAAAUCUGCCAGUCGGUCACUAUGAGUCACCGACGUCAUUGGAAGUAUUUGAUUUCAGUUUAUUUAUUUUUCUCGCCACUGCUCGUAUCUCUCCACUUCCCGUAAGUUUCAAUGAACCCUAACCUUCUAAUCCCAGCUUCUGACUGUUUGAUAUUAUAUUUGUUUGUUAAAACAUGACAAGGGUUUCUGUUUGAAAAUGAGUUGCUGGGGCUGGGUAUUAUGUUUAUGUGAUUUACGGGAUUGAAUGUAGAUGUGAAUUGAUUUGGGCGUGCAGCGAGUUGUUAUUUCACAACAUUUAGGUCCAGAAUAUGAUUUCAUUAUUGAUUUGAAAUUAUUAGAAUCUAUAGUAAGCUUCAGUCACCAAACUUAUAAUCUGUCUAUCUGGCUUUAAAUUAUUCACCCAAUUAUAAUUUUCUCUAAACUAUGCACAAAGGGAACAUAUAUGUACAGGGUAAAAACAAUUCAAUUACUCUGAUUAAAGAUCCUAUUUUACUCAAAGAUGUGGGUACAUGGUGACCCUAUUUAAUGCAUAGAUGUUGAAAAAUCUGUUGGAAAAAUGAGCAAAUGGGUCACUUUUGGCAUAAGUUAAGUGGGACCAUUGGUCCGUUUAGAAGAUCGAAGUUGAUCUGUGUUCUCAUCCAUGAGAGUAUCAAAACCAUAUAUUUACUUACCAAAAUUGAUUAACGGAUGAAUGAGAAAUUGGAGCUCAAAGUUGGCUAUUGGAAGAUGGUUUAUGUGGGAAAAGUGACAUUUGUCCCACAUAGGAAAUGAAGAAAGCAUGAACCAUUUUAUAUAUGCCUACAUUUUGAAAUGAUGUAAUCAUGUGUAGCAUAAAGGCUCUCUCUACUUGAGCGCGCAUGAGUGUGCAAAUCAAGGAUCGAAAUAGUACAUCAAGUCUUGAACUUGGGUGCGGGCGCGACCUGCGUACAUGAAUGUCGGAUCGAAUAAGGCAAAAUUCGCCCCUUCGGAGAGCCCAAGUUUUACAAUUUUUUUACUUUCUCCAAUGACUUUUGAGUUUUUGAAACUGUAAAAACUCCAAUGAACUCCCAAUGGUCACAGUGUUAAUGGGUAGUAACUCCAAUGGACUCUCAAUGGUCACGAUGUUAAUGGGCAGUAUGCCUAUAAAAAGGCUCAUUCUCCAGCAAUUUAACACACUCGAAAAUCUCACCUACAUUCCUGCAUAUACAAUUUCUUCUUUUCGACAUUCCUUGUCUAGUAAGGUAUUGUUCUUGUGGUGAUAUUGUUCGGAUACUAGAUCAGUUCGCCAAAGUAGUAUCUACGGUGCUCAGAUUCUACUAUAUACCAUUGUAUCUUGAGAAACACACUCAGAUUAAAGCUCAAGCACGUACAGUGAGAGGGCGAAUCUGUUUUAAAGAAACUGUAUUUACACAGGCCUCGGGUUAAAAGUUUAUAUGAAGUUAUAAGCAUGUCGUUAAUUUUUUUUUUUUUUUUUUUUUGUUCUCUGAAAUUUCUGUUAAUUUUCAGCUUUCCCGUUUAGAUUUAUGAAAUUAACGUGUUUUACAUAACUUAAUAUAAUUUAGUUCUAAAUUAGAUUAAUAUAUUGUGGUUUAUGAUAAUUUAGUUUAUUGUGUAAUUAACUAAUAUUAUAAACCGGUAUGAGAAAAUCCGGUAUUUAAUCUUAUUGUAUGCGUAAAAUCAAGUUUGUGAAAAUUCGAUAUACAAUCUGUGCAUAUACGGUAUAUUGUAUAUACAGUAAGUGCAAUUUCGAUAUCUAAAAUGCAUAUACGGUACCCGUAAAUUUGAUAUCUUUCCAACAACAUAAUUUUCAACAAACUUAAAACAGAUUCUAUACACAUGGGUAGUAAAUAAAUUGUUUAUUUUAUUUUAUUGAAAUAAACCAGUUGUUUAUCAGAAACUAAUAUUUGUUUCAUUUUUAGAAAUGGCUACCGAACCAACCAACAUGGAUGUAACCCAACCUGUUCCUGCUGGAAAUCAGGCUGUGGGCUCUACUGUGGCUCAAGGGCCAAGCUCCGUUAUGGUACAGACUGUGGCUAAGUUGUCAAGUCAUAUUGUGAGUCAAACUAUGGCUCCAACUGUGCCGGUUAAUCAUGGAGAAAAAUCGAAGAAAUUCAAUGGCUUGAGUUUCAAGAGGUGAUAGUAGAAAAUGCUAUUUUAUCUGACCACCUUGAAUCUUGCGAGAUUCCUGACUGAGACUGCUCCAAAACUCAAUGAGAGUGAAGGAGAUGUGCAAGCAGUUAGUGCACUUGAUGCGUGGGAGCAUUCGGACUUCUUGUACCGAAACUAUAUUAUGAACAGCUUAGUAGAUUAGCUGUACAAUGUGUAUAGUACUAUGAAAACUGCUAAAGAGUUGUGGGAGUCUUUGGACCGAAACUAUAAAAUUGAGGAUGCCGGAGCUAAAAAGUUCAUUGUCGACAGGUUCCUAGACUAUAAGAUGGUGGACUCCAAAACAGUUCUAAGUAAGGUGCAAGAACUCCAAGUGAUUCUUCACGAGAUUCAUGUCGAAGGGAUGAGUUUAAAUGAAACUUUUCCAGUUAUUGCAAUUAUUGAAAAAUUGCGCCCCGCGCGGAAAGAUUUCAAGAAUUAUCUGAAACACAAACGAAAGAAAAUGAACGUUGAAGAACUAAUUGUUAGACUUCGAAUUGAAGAAGACAAUAAAAGUUUCGAAAAGAAGUGGUUCAAUCCUGGUGUGGCUAAAGCCAAUGUUGUGGAGCAUGAUCAAAGUAGUAAGACCCACAAAAACAUGUUUGGGCCAUCCGGUGGCAAAGGGACAAAGCUAGGACCGAAAGGUGGAAUUUUUAAGAAGAAAUUUCAAGGAAAAUGCUUCAAUUGUGACAAAGUAGGCCACAAAUCUUCGGAGUGCAGAUUGCCAAAGAAGAAGAAGAAAGAAGCAAAUAUGGUUGACUGCAUGGCACAUGAUGUGUCUGAAAUCAAUCUCGCAGCCGUAAUUUCUGAAGUGAACAUGGUGGGUUCAAACCCAAAAGAAUGGUGGAUUGACACCGAUGUUACGAGACACGUGUGCUUUGAUAAAGAGUUACUUGCUACAUUCGAAGCAAUUGAGAAUGGAGAGAAGUUGUUCAUGGGAAAUUCAACAACUUCUGUGAUCAAGGGUCAAGGAAAGGUUGUUUUGAAGAUAACUUCGGGAAAAGAGCUGACACUUAACAAUGUGUUGUAUGUGCCGAAAAUUCGCAAAAACCUAGUGUCCGGGUCACUUCUGAAUAAGCAUGGCUUUUGCAUUGUAUUUGAGUCAAACAAAAUUAUUUUGUCUAAGAGUGGAAUGUUUGUCGGAAAAUGUUAUAUUUUCGAUGGUAUGUUCAAAUUAAAUGUAAUGGUUGUUAAACCAAAAAUGAAUAAAGUAAACUCUUCUGCUUACUUACUUGAGUCUUCCAAUCUAUGACAUGGUAGAUUAGGACAUGUUAACUAUGAUACUUUACGUAGACUAGAUAACUUGAAUUGUAUACCCGAGUUCCACAUUAAUUCCAAACAUAAGUGUGAAACUUGUGUUGAGGCAAAUUGACAAGGUCAUCCUUUAAAUCAAUCGAACGGAACACAGAACCACUAGAUUUAAUUCAUAGUGACGUGUGUGAUCUAAAACUUGUACAAACAAGAGGUGGCAACAAGUAUUUUAUUACUUUUGUCGACGAUAGCACAAAAUACUGCUAUGUAUAUCUGCUUAAAAGCAAGGAUGAAGCUAUAUAGAAACUUAUUCUCUAUAAGAAUGAAGUUAAGAUUCAACUUAAUAAGAAAAUUAAGGUGCUGCAAAGUGAUCGAGGUGGUGAGUAUGAAGCACCAUUUGUUGAAUUCUGUGCAUAACACGGAAUCAGACAUGAAACCAUCUCCCUUACUCACUGCAACAAAAUGGUGUUGUGGAACGAAAAAAUCGUACCUUAAAAGAGAUGAUGAAUGCAAUGCUCGUAAGUUCUUGGUUACCUCAAAACAUGUGGGGAGAAGCUGUGUUAUCAGCAAAUUACCUUUUAAAUAAGAUGCCCCGAAAGAAAUCGGAAAAGACCCCUUAUGAGUUAUGGUAAGGAAGAAUGUCUACCUAUAAACACUUGUGAGUGUGGGGGUGUCUUGUUAAAGUGGUGUUCCACCACCAAAGAAGGUAAAGAUAGGCCCAAAAACUAUAGACUGUGUCUUUAUUGGCUAUGCACAUGAUAGCAGUGCAUAUCGCUUUCUUGUGUAUGAUUCAAAAAUUCUAGACAUACACAAAAACACAAUAAUGGAAUCAAUGAAUGCUACAUUCUUUGAAGAAGUAUUUUCAUACAGAUCCAAAGAGGAAGCAAGCUCCUCUAAACGAACAUAUGAGACAAUGACUGAAAAUAGUCAGAACGAAGAAUUAGAAGAGGAGACUGAGGUUAGACACAGCAAACGGGAAAGGACAGAAAAAUCUUAUGGUCCUGAUUUUCUGACUUAUAUGCUAGAAAGUGAACCUCAAAGUUAUCAAGAAGCAGUGAAUUUCUCGGAAGGACCUCAAUAGAAAGAAGCUAUUGAAAGUAAAAUAGAUUUCAUACUGCAAAAUCAUACAUGGGAACUAGUGGAUCUUCCUCCAGGAAGCAAACUACUAGGCUACAAAUGGAUUUUCAAAAGGAAAAUGAAAGCAGAUGGAACUAUCGAGAAGUAUAAGGCCAAAUUAGUAAUUAAAGGCUAUAAACAAAGGGAAGGCCUUGAUUACUUUGAUACGUAUUCUCCAGUGACGAAUAUAACAUCUAUUAGGAUGAUACUUGCGAUUGCCGCUUUACGAAAUCUUGAAGUACAUCAAAUGGACGUUAAAAUUGCCUUUCUAAAUGGAGAUUUGGAAGAAGAAAUUUACAUGGAACAAUCUGAGGGAUUUUCAUCACCAGGACAGGAAAAGAAAGUCUGUAAACUGGUGAAGUCACUAUAUGGCUUGAAACAAAUACCAAAACAAUGACAUGAAAAAUUUGACAAUGUCAUGAUUGAGAGUGGAUUUAAAAUCAAUGAAUGUGACAAAUGUGUUUACGUCAAAGAUAUUAAAAAUGUAUAUGUCAUCUUAUAUCUUUACGUUGAUGACAUGCUUAUUGUUGGUAGUGACAAUAAAAUGAUUGAAUCCACUAAAAAUAUGUUAAACUCGAGAUUUGACAUGAAAGAUAUGGGUUUAGCUGAUGUUAUACUUAGAGUGAAAAUAUCAAGAACAUCAAAUGGGCUUGUUCUAAGUCAGUCACAUUAUGUGGACAAAAUUUUAUGAAAAUUCCAUAAGGAUGAUACUGGCUUGGCUAGAACACCAAUAGAUACGAGUCAACAUCUGUCUAAAAAUAAAGGAGAAAAUAUCUCUCAAGUAGAAUACUCGAGAGUUAUCGGAAGUCUAAUGUACUUAAUGAGUUGUACUAGACCAGACAUAGCCUACAUAGUCAGCAAAUUAAGUAGAUACACGAGUAAUUCAGGAGUUGAUCACUGGAAAGGAAUUGUAAGAGUACUAAGGUACUUAAGAUAUACUCGUGACUAUGGACUACACUAUACCAGAUAUCCACUAUACCAGAUAUCCAGCAGUCAUUGAAGGAUACAGUGAUGCUAAUUGGAUAUCUGAUACAAAAGACUCAAGGUCUACCAGUGGAUUUGUAUUCACAUUGGAAGGUGCUGCCAUAUCGUGGAAAUCCUCUAAGCAAAUGGUUAUAGCCAGAUCUACGAUGGAAUUUGAGUUUAUAGCUCUAGAUAAAUGCGGUGAAGAGGUCGAAUGGUUGCGCAACUUCUUAGAGGAUAUUCCAAGAUGGUCAAAACUUGUGUCAGCAAUUUGCAUAUAUCGUGACAGUCAAUCAGCAAUCGGAAGGGCACAAAGUAACAUGUAUAAUGGUAAGUCUAGACAUAUACAUCGUAGACACAAUACCAUAAGACAACUACUCUCAACUGAAGUUAUCACUAUUGACUAUGUAAGGUCAAAAGAUAACAUUGUGGAUCCGCUAACCAAAAGGUUAAAUAGAGAGUUAGUUGGAAAAUCAUCGAGAGGAAUGGGACUUAAGCCCUAGGACAGAUAAGUCAAUACAAAGGAAACCCAACCUAGUUGACUGGAGAUCCCAAGAUCUAGGUUCAAAAGGACAACCUAAUUAUAAAGACUUAAUUGAAUCAUUGUGGGGGGAUGUUACCUCAUGUCCAUUCCUAUGAUGUAAUAGUGAUACCUGUAAGGAUGAAAGAUAAGCAGUAGGCUUUUAAUGAUUCUUUUGCAUUGUAAAUCGAGCCAAGUAAUGCGAGUUACUUGUAAUAAGAAAUCACCUAUGUGAGAAAGAAGUGGGGCCGCUUUUAAGAGAAUUGUGUGGGGCUCAAUUCUCAGAAACUCUCACAGAGUCAGGCGUAUGUUCAUGGCCAAAACGAACAUAAUAAUGAGAACUGAAUUGUGUUAGGAAGAAUCUUGUGUGGAGUAUAUCAUUGUUUACACAAACGGCAGAACAGUUCAAGGACAACGCGUCUACUAGUCAGCUAGUAAAGUAAAUAUACUUUCACAAGGGAAGGUUCAAAGGGUAAUACCUACCUAUCCUAUGCAAGUUUCAACCGUUGAACUUUAUCAUCAAGUCUCUUAUGUCACGUUUCCGUGUCUCUCCCAAUUUUCAUUCAUGUGGGAGAUUGUUGGAAAAAUGAGUAAAUUGGUCACUUUUGGCGUAAGUUAAGUGGGACUCGUUGGUCCGAUUUAGAAGAUCAAAGUUAAUCUGUGUUCUCCUCUGUGAAAGCAUCAAAACCAUAUAUUUACUUGCCAAAAUUGAUUAACGGAUGAAUGAGAAAUUGGAGCUCAAAGUUGGCCAUUGGAAGAUGGUUUAUGUGGAAAAAGUGACAUUUGUCCCACAUAGGAAAAUGAAGAAAGCAUGAACCACUUUAUAUAUGCCUACAGUUUGAAAUUGUGUAAUCAUGUGUAGCAUAUAGGAUCUCUCUACGUGUGCGUGCAUGAGUGUGCAAAUCAAGGAUCGAAAUAGUACAUCAAGUCUUGAAUUUGGAUGCGGGCGCGACCUGAGUACAAGAAUGUCGGACCGAACAAGGCAAAAUUCGCCCAUUUUGAGAGCCCACAUUUUGCAAUUUUUUUUUGCUUUCUCCAAUGACUUUUGAGUUUCUGAAACUGCAAAAACUCCAAUGGACUCCCAAUGGUCACGAUGUUAAUGGGCAGAGUCUUUUCUGCAUUCCUUGUCCAGUAAGGUCUUGUUCUUAUGGUGAUAUUAUUCGGAUACCAGAUCAGUUCGCCAGAGUAGUAUCUACGGUGCUCAGAUUCUACUAUAUACCGUUGUAUCCUGUGAAACAGACACUCGGCUUAAAACUCAAGCACAUACGGUGAGAGGGCGAAUCUGUUUUAAGGAAACUGUAUUUUACACAGGCCUCGGGUUAGAAGUUUAUAUGAAGUUAUAAGCAUGUCGUUAAUUUUUUUUUUUUUUUUUGUUCUCUGAAAUUAUUGUUAAUUUUCAACUUUUCCGUUUAGAUUUAUUAAAUUAACGUGUUUUACAUAACUUAAUAUAAUUUAGUUCUAAAUUAGAUUAAUAUAUUCUGAUUUAUGAUAAUUUAGUUUAUUGUGUAAUUAACUAAUAUUAUAAACCGGUAUGAGAAAAUCCGGUAUUUAAUCUUAUUGUAUGCGUAAAAUCAAGUUUACGCAAAUUCGGUAUACAAUCUGUGCAUAUACGGUUUAUUGCAUAUACGGUAAGUGCAAUUUCGGUAUCUAAAAUGGAUAUACGAUAUCCGUAAAUUUGGUUUCAUUCCACCAACAUAAUUUCCAAAAAAAUCUAGUCCACUUCUUCCCGCAAAGGGUAUUGAGGUCAGGACUGAAGAGAGAAAAAUCUCAGACUUCUAAAUUCGCUAUGUGCCAUUUGACAAACUGAGAUUGAAUUGCCUUGAACUGUAGCAGGAUGGUGGGCAAAAGCCACCAUCUCUCAUCCUCCUUGCCAUUACAAAAAAUUGAACUCUCAAUAAUCUACCAGAAAACCUAUAGCGCCUGAGCCUCGGUUCCCAAUGUCCCUAGGGGAUGUUAGGAAGUUUAAGUCAACAAAAUUGAGUAAUCUUAUCUUUGUGAGACUAGAUAGGAUUUUCUUCUACUUUGGUGGCUUUCCCUGUGUAUUCUCGUUCUUAUCUCUGUUCUCAAUAUUUUGAAGUGCAUUUUUCAUUUCAAUCUGGUAAAAGCAGAGUUCCUACACCAGUAGUUCAUUCUGUGCAUGCUACAGUAACUAUUGGGCUAUUAGAAUGUACUUUGGAAAGUCUCAAGUACGACUUAUAUAACUUGUUCAAGAUACAUCUUAACAAAGUUUAGGUAAUUUACAAGUAAAGAGCGUAUGAGAGCCUUCUCUGAAUAAUUCUUGCAGAAAUCCUUUUAAGAAUGUUUUAUUACAUGUUCAAAAUGUUGUCUUUCAAGUAAUGAAAAGGAAUUUAGAGAAUACAUUUGGACAAAAUGAUCUGGAAAUGAUGAUUAAAAUUUUUAAUUUUUGUGCCUACCAAACAGUCAAAAUUAUAAGUUAUCUUUCCUAUUUCACUAGCUAUGCACUUUCCUGUUUAACUGGAAGAACUGCAACCAAAGGCCAUGCAAGAAACAGAGUUUAGUGAAAUUGCUCUGUUAGAAAGCUUGGUACAACAACAUUGCCUCAUCCAUAUGUUCUCCUUGUAGUAUUUGAGGUUUAGAUUUCUCUACAUCUCCAUAUUAAUUGUAGCUCGUAGUUAUUAGAUGAAUGUUUACUCUGUCAUUCUAAUUAUCUUGUUCUUACAGUAAUAUAUGCACAACAAGGCCUUUGAUGCAUCCAUGAUCGGGCAGGAGUCUGCUGUGCUCCUAUUGGGUAAUGACUAAUCAUUAUUGUUCUCCUUUUUGUUUCUUUUUUGUUUAUUGGUCUUUGGACAUAAUUAAUUAGUGGGGGAAAUACUAGGAAAAAGAAUAAUGGAAUCUUUUUUCCUAAAUGACAGAAAGUUACUGUUUCUUGUCUUGUGUAUUUAAACAAAUUGCUAGCUAUCAUUCUUAUAAAUUUGAUUUUCACAAAUGGACCUUUUGAUUAUGAUAGUGACUAAAGAAUAUUAAUUCCCAUUGCCACCAUUUAUCUAGUCUAGUUUCUCUAUAAAUUGAUCUAAGAUGUCUUGUGGCUAACCUUCGCCUAUGACUUUGAGUCACAUUGCCAUGGUUUUUAUUUUUCUUUUUAGUUGUUGUUAGUUAAAUAACGUAGAUGCAUAUUCUUCCAUUUUACUUGAAAUUAGAUUGGUUCAUGGAGUCCAAGAAGCUGCACAAGUAGUAGAGUCAAAAGCACAAGUGGCCAUGACUUGGGUAUGUCCAAUUUGCUCUUCUAGCAGUUUUUUUGUCUUAUUUUACUUGUUUUGUUGUUUACUAGUAAAUUUUGGACAAGAACCAUAAUAAAGAUGACCUUACUCGUAAAUUUCAAUAGCCAUAUACAUCAGGCCAAGUGAAAUGAAUUGAUGUUUGUCACUUGGUAUUUAUUUUAAGGCGUGAUCAAUUACUUUUUCUCUUUAUUUUUGGUUCCAGGACUUCUCGAUCUCACAGACUAAAAUAAAGCAUAUGGCAUACAGCAAUCCGGUAUCUGCUGACCAUGUUACAAGCUACAAAUCUGGACCAAAUGCUUGCUUGCCAACAUUAGAUCACCAUGGUUGUGGGAUGUCUUCAAUAUGGGUCAAAUAUUUUGUACUAUUUUAAUAAGUUAUUUUUGGAGUAGUAAUCGAUACUUUUGGUAUAUUGAUGUCGACUUUUUGACUAGGCUAAUGAUGUUCUUAGUAAUCAUUUAGAUUAACUCUACAUUUUGGUAUAUUGUAUUUGAUUACACUUAAUACUUUUAUUCAUUGAAAUUAUGGAAAACAUGAUUAUAUUAUA